AAAUCUUACCGGGUCCGGACACACUGAGGAUUGACAGGCAAUAUUAAUACGUUUUGCUUCGGUAAUCGUAUUAUGUUAAAUAUGCUAGUCCUUUCAUGAUUAUGCGAUAGGUGGUGCAUGGCCGUUCUUAGUUCGUGGAGUGAUCUGUCUGCUUAAUUGCGUUUCACUAAGGGCCUAUAAAUUUACGUGUGUUGCAUCGCACUUUGACCCCUUUCUUUAAUUAGAGAGCGCGUGUCUUAGUUUUCGCUUUGCUCAUACAAUUAGGUCCUGAAAGCAACGAACGUGACCGCAACCUCUUGUUGCCUUUAUACCAAACAUGUUUUGCGUCAAUUUUCGAAUUGCGCGCAUUUCAUGAAAAAAGGCUUUUUAAACUAGAGGGACCGCUGUUACUUUCUUAAACCAGAGGAAGGUUGCGGCAAUAA
rnacentral:rRNA from 1 species